rnacentral:rRNA from 1 species
CUAGCUGUAAACGGUGUACAUUAGGUGUGGGAGAUUCAUUUCUUCCGUGCCGACGCUAACGCAUUAAAUGUACCGCCUGGGAACUACGGCCGCAAGGUUGAAACUCAAAGAAAUUGACGGGGGUCCGCACAAGUGGUGGAGCAUGUGGUUUAAUUCGACGCUACGCGAAGAACCUUACCUGGGCUUGACAUUCUUAUGAUCGCUUUGUGAAAGCUUAGCUUUCUGCCCGCAAGGGUAGACAUUUGAACAGGUGU